rnacentral:rRNA from 1 species
UACAGAGGGGGCAAGCGUUAUUCGGAAUUAUUGGGCGUAAAGGGCGCGUAGGCGGCCAUUCAAGUGACGGGUGAGAGCCCUCGGCUUAACCGAGGAACUGCCUGUCAGACUGGAUGGCUUGAGACCGGGAGAGGUGAGUGGAAUUCCCAGUGUAGCGGUGAAAUGCGUAGAUAUUGGGAGGAACACCAGUGGCGAAGGCGGCUCACUGGACCGGAACUGACGCUGAGGCGCGAAAGCGUGGGGAGCAAACAGG